rnacentral:rRNA from 1 species
GGAUUAGAUACCCUGGUAGUCCAUGCCGUAAACGUUGGGCACUAGGUGUGGGGCUCAUUCCACGAGUUCCGCGCCGCAGCUAACGCAUUAAGUGCCCCGCCUGGGGAGUACGGCCGCAAGGCUAAAACUCAAAGGAAUUGACGGGGGCCCGCACAAGCGGCGGAGCAUGCGGAUUAAUUCGAUGCAACGCGAAGAACCUUACCAAGGCUUGACAUACACCGGAAUGUGCCAGAGAUGGUUCAGCCCUUUGGGCUGGUGUACAGGUGGUGCAUGGUUGUCGUCAGCUCGUGCCG